rfam:Selaginella moellendorffii unplaced genomic scaffold SELMOscaffold_36, whole genome shotgun sequence.
GUGAGCGUGCCAGAGUGGUUAUCGGGCAUGACUCGAAAUCAUGUGGGCUCUGCCCGCGCAGGUUCCAAUCCUGUCGCUCACG